rnacentral:rRNA from 1 species
GACGAACGCUGGCGGCGUGCUUAACACAUGCAAGUCGAACGGAAAGGCCCUGCUUUUGUGGGGUGCUCGAGUGGCGAACGGGUGAGUAACACGUGAGUAACCUGCCCUUGACUUUGGGAUAACUUCAGGAAACUGGGGCUAAUACCGGAUAGGAGCUCCUGCUGCAUGGUGGGGGUUGGAAAGUUUCGGCGGUUGGGGAUGGACUCGCGGCUUAUCAGCUUGUUGGUGGGGUAGUGGCUUACCAAGGCUUUGACGGGUAGCCGGCCUGAGAGGGUGACCGGCCACAUUGGUACUGAGAUACGGCCCAGACUCCUACGGGAGGCAGCAGUGGGGAAUAUUGCACAAUGGGCGGACGCCUGAUGCAGAAACGCCGCGUGCGGGAUGACCGCCUUCGGGUUGUAAACCGCUUUAGCCUGUGACGAAGCGUGAGUGACGGUAAUGGGUAAAGAAGCACCGGCUAACUACGUG